UAGUUCAGUGGUAGAACACCACCUUGCCAAGGUGGGGGUCGCGGGUUCGAAUCCCG
rnacentral:tRNA from 1 species